AAUAGAUACCCGGGUAGUCCACGCCGUAAACGAUGAAUACUAGGUGUAGGGGUUGUCAUGACCUCUGUGCCGCCGCUAACGCAUUAAGUAUUCCGCCUGGGGAGUACGGUCGCAAGAUUAAACUCAAAGGAAUUGACGGGGGCCCGCACAAGCAGCGGAGCAUGUGGUUUAAUUCGAAGCAACGCGAAGAACCUUACCUAGACUUGACAUCUCCUGAAUUACUCUGUAAUGGAGGAAGCCACUUCGGUGGCAGGAAGACAGGUGGUGCAUGGUUGUCGUCAGCUCGUGUCGUGAGAUGUUGGGUUAAGUCCCGCAACGAGCGCAACCCUUAUUGUUAGUUGCUACCAUUUAGUUGAGCACUCUAGCGAGACUGGCCCGGGUUAACCGGGAGGAAGGUGGGGAUGACGUCAAAUCAUCAUGCCCCUUAUGUCUAGGGCUACACACGUGCUACAAUGGUCGGUACAAUGAGAUGCAACCUCGCGAGAGUGAGCAAAAACUNUAAAAACCGAUCUCAGUUCGGAUUGUAGGCUGAAA
rnacentral:rRNA from 1 species